AGCAGCCGCGGUAAUUCCAGCUCCAAUAGCGUAUAUUAAAGUUGUUGCAGUUAAAAGACUCGUAGUUGAAUUUCGGGAUCAAUUAAUUGGUCGUGCCUCUGGUACGCACUGGUUUUAUUGGUUUCUCCCUUCUUGACGAACCACGAUGUCAUUAAUUUGGUGUCGUGGAGAAUCAGGACUGUUACUUUGAAAAAUUAGAGUGUUUAAAGCAGGCUGACGCUUGAAUACAUUAGCAUGGAAUAAUGAAAUAGGACGUUUGAUCCUAUUUU
rnacentral:misc_RNA from 1 species